UACGGAGGGUGCAAGCGUUAUCCGGAUUCACUGGGUUUAAAGGGUGCGUAGGUGGGUUGGUAAGUCAGUGGUGAAAUCUCCGAGCUUAACUUGGAAACUGCCAUUGAUACUAUCAGUCUUGAAUAUUGUGGAGGUUAGCGGAAUAUGUCAUGUAGCGGUGAAAUGCUUAGAUAUGACAUAGAACACCAAUUGCGAAGGCAGCUGGCUACGCAUAUAUUGACACUGAGGCACGAAAGCGUGGGGGAUCAAAACAGG
rnacentral:rRNA from 1 species